AGUUGGCCGGAUGGUAUCGCUUGCCUCAGAGCUAGAAGCUCCCCCAGCAGGGCCUAGAGGUUGAUGUACAGCUAUCACAGAGACAUCCAUUUGAGUGUACGAGGUACAGUGUGUGCAGCUGGGACCUAAACUUCCAGUCUCUGCUCUUGAGGAGCUUACAGACAAGUGUGAAAAAAGAAGAGGAGAAACAGGACUGUUACCAUCCAGUGACAUGAAGCCUAUGACUGAGAUCUCAACUUGAAAGUCAACUUCCGGGCUUCCCUGGUGGUGCAGUGGUUAAG